CGCUCGGUGGUGAAAUAGUAUCACGUCUGGCUUACACCCAGAAAUCGAGGGGGCAGAACCUUCCCGGGCGACCA
rnacentral:tRNA from 1 species